rnacentral:rRNA from 1 species
UUGAACGCUGGCGGCAGGCUUAACACAUGCAAGUCGAGCGGAAACGAGAAUAGCUUGCUAUUCGGCGUCGAGCGGCGGACGGGUGAGUAAUGCUUGGGAAUAUGCCUUAUGGUGGGGGACAACAGUUGGAAACGACUGCUAAUACCGCAUAACGUCUACGGACCAAAGGGGGGGAUCUUCGGACCUCUCGCCAUUUGAUUAGCCCAAGUGAGAUUAGCUAGUUGGUAAGGUAAUGGCUUACCAAGGCGACGAUCUCUAGCUGGUUUGAGAGGAUGAUCAGCCACACUGGGACUGAGACACGGCCCAGACUCCUACGGGAGGCAGCAGUGGGGAAUAUUGCACAAUGGGCGAAAGCCUGAUGCAGCCAUGCCGCGUGUGUGAAGAAGGCCUUCGGGUUGUAAAGCACUUUCAGCGAAGAAGAAAGGUUAGUAAUUAAUAACUGCUAGCUGUGACGUUACUCCCAGAAAAAGCACCGGCUAA